rnacentral:rRNA from 1 species
AUGAACGCUGGCGGCGUGCCUAAUACAUGCAAGUCGAGCGAACGGACGAGAAGCUUGCUUCUCUGAUGUUAGCGGCGGACGGGUGAGUAACACGUGGAUAACCUACCUAUAAGACUGGGAUAACUUCGGGAAACCGGAGCUAAUACCGGAUAAUAUUUUGAACCGCAUGGUUCGAAAGUGAAAGACGGUCUUGCUGUCACUUAUAGAUGGAUCCGCGCUGCAUUAGCUAGUUGGUAAGGUAACGGCUUACCAAGGCAACGAUGCAUAGCCGACCUGAGAGGGUGAUCGGCCACACUGGAACUGAGACACGGUCCAGACUCCUACGGGAGGCAGCAGUAGGGAAUCUUCCGCAAUGGGCGAAAGCCUGACGGAGCAACGCCGCGUGAGUGAUGAAGGUCUUCGGAUCGUAAAACUCUGUUAUUAGGGAAGAACAUAUGUGUAAGUAACUGUGCACAUCUUGACGGUACCUAAUCAGAAAGCCACGGCUAACUACGUG